AUACCGUAUAACAAUCGAAACCGCAUGGUUUUGAUUUGAAAGGCGCUUUCGGGUGUCGCUGAUGGAUGGACCCGCGGUGCAUUAGCUAGUUGGUGAGGUAACGGCUCACCAAGGCCACGAUGCAUAGCCGACCUGAGAGGGUGAUCGGCCACAUUGGGACUGAGACACGGCCCAAACUCCUACGGGAGGCAGCAGUAGGGAAUCUUCGGCAAUGGACGAAAGUCUGACCGAGCAACGCCGCGUGAGUGAAGAAGGUUUUCGGAUCGUAAAACUCUGUUGUUAGAGAAGAACAAGGAUGAGAGUAACUGUUCAUCCCUUGACGGUAUCUAACCAGAAAGCCACGGCUAACUACGUGCC
rnacentral:rRNA from 1 species